GUGGCUGUGGCUCAGUGGUGGAGCACUUGCCUAGCAUGUAUGAGGCCCUGGGUUCGAUCCUCAGCACUGCA
rnacentral:tRNA from 1 species